ensembl:lncRNA
GCCAGGCUGUGAUAAGACUGGGGGCCCCGCUCAGCAGCCGCCUGCCCUCGGGGACCAGGUAGGACUGUCUUCAGGGGUCCCACGGGAAGUGCCAGAAGCUGUGUGAGGGCUGGGGUGACCACUUUACUUCUGAACGGUCCUAAAGCCCCCACCCUGGAGCGCUUUUCUUCCUGGCUCUGCAGCCUCCCACAAGGUGUUCCCAACAGUCAGGCCCAGCCCUUCGGGGAGGCGGCAGGGUCUCGUGCUCAGUCUCUGUGUGUCGGGGGUGCAGCGGGAGCCGCGUGGUGGGCUGCCGUGUUGAAAAGUAGCCUGGAGAGUUGAGCCUGGGGCUGUGGCCGCUGGGGAACUGCAGAAAGGCUAUGGGCAACCCACAUGGCUGCUCAGAAGAAGCUGGGGUCCCAGACUUCUGGGACAUUUUAUGGGUGUCUUAAGCUUUCUGUGCAGAAGAUGGUGGUGAAAGUCCUACACUGUCCCUGGGCCUGCUUAUGACAAGCCUGUCCAGCCAGUGCCCAGGGAAUACUGAGGAGCCACACCUAUUCCAUCCAGCGAGUGUGUGUGCGGGAGUCACCCCUGGAAUCAGGAGUAGGGUCAGACCUCCCCAGCUAGCUUUAUUAAAGCUGAAAUGCAGGCCAGGGCAGGGUGGUGCAUGCUGGUAAUCCCAGCUACUGGGGAGGCUGAGGUGGGAGAAUCGCAAGUUUGAAACCAGCCCGAGGAACUUAGUGAGAUGUUGGCUAAAAAUAAAAAGGACUGAGAAUGUAGGUAAGUGGUAGAGCACUUGCCUAGCAUGCACGAGGCCCUGUGUUUGAUCCCCUGUUAAAAGAGCCAAAAUUCAGGCCCCAUGGGGAUUCCCUGCAGCCAGGGUGCCAGGGCUCAGACACAGAGAGGCUCCCCGGCAUUCAGCCAUGGACAGAAGGCAGCAGAGACCUCCUGGUGAGAGGAAGCAUGAGACCCUAUAAUGGGAAAACCCUGCCGACAGAGCCGAGACAAGCAGUGGAGGACGUGGGGACUUCUGCAGCACCAGUGCUGGGGAAGGGGAAGGAGAACAGAGGCCAGAGGUCUUCAUGCCAAGUCUCAGCUCCCCUUUAAUUACAGGUCUCAGGCUGGGGAUUUAGCUCAGUGGUUCCGGCGCCUGCCUCGAAAGCGCAAGGUCCGGAGUUCGAUCCCCAGUACCAAAAAAAAAAAAAUUACAGGUCUCUGCAAUCACAGCAACUGCCAGGCCUCCAAGAGAAUGCAUUGACUGAACCUUUAAUUCCACUUUCCCUCAGAGGUGUACUCUCAUAUUAGGAGAUGAACAUUUCCAUCAUGACCUGGACAGACACAGCCUCCUGUCACCCACCAGGCCAGCCCCAAGCCCAGGGCUUCCCGACUGCCCAGCUUCCGUGGGACUUACUCCCACUUGGUGACAGAGGAAGAUGGCAUCCUGGUAGUCCGGGUGUAGAGAUUAUCCACCCACCGGAUCCCUAAGCAGAUGCCUGGGCUUCCUGAGUCUGUGUUUGGAUUCUUCCAGCAGCUCUGGAAAGUUAUCAGAUAAGUAUCUCUUCAAAUAUCAACCUCUCAGGCAGGAAUGGUGUCAUGCACCUGUCACCCUACCACUGGGGAGGCUGAGGCAGGAAAAGCACUUGGACCUGGGAGUUUGAAGCCAGCCUGGACAACACAGAAAGAUUCCUUUCUAAAAAAUUAUUCUCCCCAUUCUCAUUUUGUCCAAUUCUCUCUGUUUUAUACGUGUAUUUUACUCUCCUUUUAUUAUCUUAUUAUCUUUUUUUUUUUUUUGCACCAGGGAUCAAACUCAGGACCUUGCGCUUGUGAGGCAGGCACCAGAACCACUGAGCUAAAUCCCCGCCUUAUUAUCUUUUUUUAACUUCUAUUCUGGACAAUUUAUUCUUAUCUAUCUUCUAAUUUCUGAACAUUUUGUGUUUGUUUGUUUUGUUUUGUUUUUCUUUUUGUUUGCAGUAAUGGGAUUGAAUUUAGGGCCUUUGCACUGGGCUCCAUCCUCUCUCACGCCUUUAUUUUUUGAGACAGGGUCUCCCUAAAUUGCUCAGGCUGGGCUGAAACUUGUGAUCCUCCUGCCUCAGCCUUCCAGGGUGCUGGGAUAACAGGUGUGUGUGUGUGUGUGUGUGUGCGCGCGCCACAUUAAAAUCUAUAUGUUGAGUUUUAAAUGGUGGUUACUAUGUUUUCAUUUUGGAAAUUUCAUUCUGUCUUUUUGAAAUCUACUACAUAAUGUCAUAAACUCUAUCUGGCUCCCUGCAAAUAUUAAACUUGCCUCCUUAGGUUUUUUUUUUUUUAAAUAAUGUGUAACUUUAUUAUCAUUCACUAAACACACACAUAUACAAAACUUAAAAUUAUUCAAAGAACAGCAAUGCAAGGG